rnacentral:rRNA from 1 species
UACGGGGGGGGGCAAGCGUUGUUCGGAAUUACUGGGCGUAAAGGGCUCGUAGGCGGCCAACUAAGUCAGACGUGAAAUCCCUCGGCUUAACCGGGGAACUGCGUCUGAUACUGGAUGGCUUGAGUUUGGGAGAGGGAUGCGGAAUUCCAGGUGUAGCGGUGAAAUGCGUAGAUAUCUGGAGGAACACCGGUGGCGAAGGCGGCAUCCUGGACCGACACUGACGCUGAUGAGCGAAAGCCAGGGGAGCAAACGGG